CCUUUGACUUGCAAUGUAUGGUACUGUAGCUGAAAUUACAAACAGUUACCAUUUUGCAGUGUGUUCUUGUGACAGAGAAGUCUGGACGAGGUCAUACCAGUGCUGUCUCUGUUCCUAUCCUUCCUCAGGCUGAUGAGUAUUGGAAGUUGAUACGUACCCAUGAAUUGACAGCAAGCAGACCACCAAACUGACUGUUCCAGCUACUGAAUAGCUCCUCCAGAUGGUUCCAGGUAGAUUUCCAGUUGAGGAAUGAAGAUUUGGGGAUUGAUACUUAUAGAUCUGGUGGUUCAGGUGGUCAGCAUGCAAAUACCACCAAUACUGCUGUCCAAAUAAAUCAUAUUCCAACAGGGAUGACUGAAUCCAUCCAAGAUGAACGAUCUCAACAUAUGGCUGAUGGUUGUUCGUGAAGUAUCUGUAUCCGACUUUCACUCCAACAGUAGUCUUGUUUGUUGCUGGAACGGUUGCGUAUGGAGUACUUAAGUACCUGCAAAAUGAGAAACUCAAGGACCAAAAUUGAAUCAUGGAUGAAGGCUGAUGGUUUCAGUCGUAAAAUAAGGGAGGACUUGUACGAUAUCCACUGAUAAUUGUACUGUGGUGAAAUUUUUUGCAGUGGCUUCUUCAAUUUCACUAGGACCAAGUCUUUGAAUGCGGUGAAAUUCGAUGGAUGUACGGAUAAUUUCGGUAGUCUAUCAUCACUAUUUUCACA